rnacentral:rRNA from 1 species
GAUGAACGCUAGCUACAGGCUUAACACAUGCAAGUCGAGGGGCAGCAUUAUCGAAGCUUGCUUUGAUAGAUGGCGACCGGCGCACGGGUGAGUAACGCGUAUCCAACCUUCCCCGUAGUAGGGCACAGCCCGGCGAAAGUCGGAUUAAUUCCCUAUGUUCUUGACAGCAGACAUCUAACGUCAAGCAAAGAUUCAUCGCUAUGGGAUGGGGAUGCGUCUGAUUAGGUUGCAGGCGGGGUAACGGCCCACCUGGCCUACGAUCAGUAGGGGUUCUGAGAGGAAGGUCCCCCACAUUGGAACUGAGACACGGUCCAAACUCC